UCCUGUAAAAUUAAGAAAUCACACAAUUUGAUGGUCUACAUUAUCUAAAGCAAAUGAGACUUCUAUUUGGAACAAAGACUACCUUGUUGGGAAAUGAGUCUGCAAGUUAAAGUGUUUUCUGGGAUCACUCUAAGCUCCAGUGUUAAGGAGUCAAGUCCUUCAGGAAUUCUCUGCCUCCACUCCCUGUGGCAGAGCUAGAGUGGCUGCCAUGCUUCUGAGCUCAGCCAGCAUCCAGAGAGACAGUGAGAUACAGCCUCCUCUUCUUGAAGCACCCACUUCUAAACUCUAUGACAGUUUUCUUGGAACUCUGUUAUGUGGGUCUGGAGAUGACAAUGUCACAGCACUCCCCUCUAAGCCUAAAUUCCCCCACAUCGAUGAACUAUUAGGGUGGUCUGCUGCUGAUCAAAUGAAAGUAUUCCCCAGCU
rnacentral:lncRNA from 1 species